GGUAGGUAUAGCUCAAUUGGUAGAGCGUUAGAUUGUGGAUCUAAAGGUCAUGGGUUCGAUUCCUAUUACUUACC
rnacentral:tRNA from 2 species